rnacentral:rRNA from 1 species
GGCAGCAGUGGGGAAUAUUGCACAAUGGGGGAAACCCUGAUGCAGCGACGCAGCGUGCGGGAUGACGGCCUUCGGGUUGUAAACCGCUUUCAGCAGGGAAGAAGCGAAAGUGACGGUACCUGCAGAAGAAGUACCGGCUAACUACGUGCCAGCAGCCGCGGUAAUACGUAGGGUACGAGCGUUGUCCGGAAUUAUUGGGCGUAAAGAGCUCGUAGGUGGUUGGUCACGUCUGCUGUGGAAACGCAACGCUUAACGUUGCGCGUGCAGUGGGUACGGGCUGACUAGAGUGCAGUAGGGGAGUCUGGAAUUCCUGGUGUAGCGGUGAAAUGCGCAGAUAUCAGGAGGAACACCGGUGGCGAAGGCGGGACUCUGGGCUGUAACUGACACUGAGGAGCGAAAGCAUGGGGAGCGAACAGGAUUAGAUACCCUGGUAGUCCAUGCCGUAAACGUUGGGCACUAGGUGUGGGGGGCAUUCCACGUUCUCCGCGCCGUAGCUAACGCAUUAAGUGCCCCGCCUGGGGAGUACGGUCGCAAGGCUAAAACUCAAAGGAAUUGACGGGGGCCCGCACAAGCGGCGGAGCAUGCGGAUUAAUUCGAUGCAACGCGAAGAACCUUACCAAGGCUUGACAUACACUGGACCGUUCUGGAAACAGUUCUUCUCUUUGGAGCUGGUGUACAGGUGGUGCAUGGUUGUCGUCAGCUC